GCUCCGGUGGCCUAGUGGUUAGAGCGUCCGCCUCGGAUGUGGGUGGAUGUGGGUAGUGGAUUAGAACCCCGGCCGACCCA